CUGAGACUGGAAACCCAAAAUGAUGGUAACUGAGACUGGUGCUAAGGCCUUAAGUUUUGGUCACAAUCUCACCUAAGUGAGAACCUGCAUAAUAAGGAAGAAUU